UACGAAGGGGGCAAGCGUUGUUCGGAAUUACUGGGCGUAAAGGGCGCGCAGGCGGCCAAUCAAGUCAGAUGUGAAAGCCCCGGGCUCAACCUGGGAACUGCAUUUGGGACUGGUUGGCUAGAGAUCGGGAGAGGAGAGUGGAAUUCCCAGUGUAGAGGUGAAAUUCGUAGAUAUUGGGAAGAACACCGGUGGCGAAGGCGGCUCUCUGGACCGAUACUGACGCUCAUGCACGAAAGCGUGGGGAGCAAACAGG
rnacentral:rRNA from 1 species